rnacentral:rRNA from 1 species
AUUUAACGCUGGCGGCAGGCCUAACACAUGCAAGUCGAACGAGUGGCGGACGGGUGAGUAAUGUCUGGGAAACUGCUUGAUGGAGGGGGAUAACUACUAGAAACGGGAGCUAAUACCGCAUACCAUCAGAUGUGCCCAGAUGGGAUUAGCUAGUUGGUGGGGUAACGGCUCACCAAGGCGACGAUCCCUAGCUGGUCUGAGAGGAUGACCAGCCACACUGGAACUGAGAAACGGGCCAGACUCCUACGGGCGGCAGUAGUGGGGAAUAUUGCACAAUGGGCGCAAGCCUGAUGCAGCCAUGCCGCGUGUAUGAAGAAGGCCUUCGGGUUGUAAAGUACUUUCAGCGGGGAGGCGUUACCCGCAGAAGAAGCACCGGCUAACUCCGUGCCAGCAGCCGCGGUAAUAC